AGGAUAAACGCUGGCGGCGUGCCUAACACAUGCAAGUCGAACGUCCUUGCGUCUUUCGGGAUGCGAGGGAGUGGCGGACGGGUGAGGAACACGUGGGUGACCUACCUUUCAGUGAGGGAUACCGGCGAGAAAUUGCCGACAAGACCGCAUACGGUUCUUUCUUCGAUGGGAGAACGAAAGCUUUGUCGUAAGAUGAGGUGCUGGAAGAUGGGCCCGCGGCCGAUUAGCUAGCUGGUGGGUAACGGCCUACCAGGGCAUCGAUCGGUAGCUGGUCUGAGAGGACGAUCAGCCACACUGGGAUUGAGAACGGCCCAGACUCCUACGGGGGGCAGCAGUGAGGAAUUUUCGGCAAUGGGGGCAACCCUGACCGAGCAACGCCGCGUGCAGGACGACGGCCUUCGGGUUGUAAACUGCUUUUCUCUGGGACGAGAACGGACGGUACCAGAGGAAGAAGCCCCGGCUAACUACGUGCCAGCAGCCGC
rnacentral:rRNA from 1 species